rnacentral:rRNA from 1 species
UACGUAGGGUGCGAGCGUUGUCCGGAAUUAUUGGGCGUAAAGGGCUCGUAGGUGGUUUGUCGCGUUGUCCGUGAAAUUCCCUGGCUUAACUGGGGGCGUGCGGGCGAUACGGGCAGACUGGAGUACUGCAGGGGAGACUGGAAUUCCUGGUGUAGCGGUGGAAUGCGUAGAGAUCCGGAAGAACACCGGUGGCGAAGGCGGUUAGCUGGGCAGUUGCUGGACACUUGAGGCGCG